rnacentral:rRNA from 1 species
CCAAUAGCGUAUAUUAAAGUUGUUGCAGUUAAAAAGCUCGUAGUUGAAUUUCGGGAUCUGUCCAUUGGUCGGGCUUCACGGUCCGUACUGGUGAGAUGGGUUCCUACCUUCUGAAUAACCAGCAUGCCAUUCAGUUGGUGCGCUGGGGAAGCAGAGCUACUACCGUGAAAAAAUUAGAGUGCUUAAAGCAGGCUAGUGCUUGAAUAGAGUAGCAUGGAAUAAUAAAAUAGGACGGCAUGGUUCUAUUUUGUUGGUUUCUAGGAUCACCGUAAUGAUUAAUAGGGAUAGUUGGGGGCAUUAGUAUUCAAUUGUCAGAGGUGAAAUUCUUGGAUUUAUUGAAGACUAACUUCUGCGAAAGCAUUUGCCAAGGAUGUUUUCAUUAAUCAAGAACGAAAGUUAGGGGAUCGAAGACGAUCAGAUACCGUCGUAGUCUUAACCAUAAACUAUGCCGACUAGGGAUCGGACGAUGUUAAUUUUUUAAUGACUCGUUCGGCGCCUUACG